AUGUAACAAUAAGAAAUAUACUCAAAACCUGGAUUAAUCUUUUUAGUCACAUAGCACUACUAUUAUUCUGAACACUACUGUAUAUAUAUAUAUAUUAAAUCUAUCUCAAUCACAGUAGUAGCAAGUGACAAAAUCACAGAGUUACAUCGAGUUUAUAUAGCCUACGUCACCUGACAUCACAAACGUUGAGUGCGCUACCGAAGCGCCUGCCCUCUGAUGGCAAAAGUUGAACUACGUCUAUACAGUCAGUGGAACGUUGCACAACGUCGCCCUCUGCUGAGCCAAAUGGACCUGUGAUGAAGACAGGAAAUUUGGACCCCUAAAGCGAGCCUUCUCCGGCAUUUUACAGAGAUUUUUGAGAAUCUGCUACGUGAGCCGGCGACAGCCAUUU